CCACGCGGAAAUCAACUUCUCCUCUUUCCACGCUUUUACUUCUUAUCAUUUCCUGCAUCGAAUUGCAAAUAUGAGCAACCGAUCCGGUAUCAAAUACCCAAGAAUUAAUAAUUGUAUGAGCGAGAAAUAUGUUGUCUAUAACAUUAACAACAAGCGUACCUGAGGUAGAAGUACUCUUACUUCCACCAUUCUUCAAGGAAGCUAGGUACUGCUUACAGUUUCUCUUCCAGUGACCAAGUUCAUGACAGUAAAAGCACUCUUUGUCUGGAGCAGGUCCAGGUCCAGCUUUAACCUUGGGCGCUGGGUUUGGCUUGGAUGUUCCAGCCUUGCCCUUCUUCUUCCAAGAAUUGCCCUUCUUCUUAAAGCUAGGCUUGUUCUGUAUAGCCAUCACAUGGCUGGUACUAGCGCU
rnacentral:lncRNA from 1 species